GUUGAGAGAAGGAGAGAGAGAGAGAGACACGGAUUGGCAGUCGGUCGGCGACUAUUUGUGCAAGGAAAGAAACCUGGCUUCUUUCCUCUAACCAAGUCACACUUCCCAGGAACCAUUUACAGCAAUCAGUUCUGUAGGAUAAUAGAAGCAUUAGGACUGUGACCUGGAGUGGAACCUGUGUUCCUACACCUAAGGUCCUCGACCACAUGUGCAUAUAACUGGCAAGUUCAAUGAAGAUUUGGCAUUGCACCAUUUGAUGAAAGCAGAAAAAUUAGGUUGCCAAUUACAUAUGUGCCCCUUAUGUGCACUGAAUUCCCACUGAAUGAAGUGAUGAGCCAAAUUAGAAAUCCUUCAGUAAUGGUACCUAAAAAGUGAAAUUAGUGUCUAGGGAAGCAGAAAUCCUGCCCGGUACCAGAACCACAGGGUCUGUUCAUGUUCUUCCUCUGUGAAGGAAACUAAAAGGCCAGCCAGGUCAACUGACCAGGAUUUCAGAGAAGAAUCCUUGGCAAAAGCUAAGCCCAGAUGAAUGGGUUAUAAUCAAAGACAGCUUUGAACUUUGAUCUUUGAACUACACAGACACCAAGGAUCCAUUCCACAGGCAAACGUGAUAGCAGGACUACUCAGAUGUGAUUAAUGAGGUCUUUUGGAAUAUGACUUCGGGAUUUCUCACCUUCACAUGAGGAUUUAUGAGGCAUGUGGUAAUUGAGAAAUGUGUCUUCAUGGUGAUUCUAAAAGCAGAUGGCAUUCAUUCAUUUAUUCAUUCAGUCCACAAAUAUUUACUGAGCGUCUACGAUGUGCCAGGAGCUAAAUACAAAGAUUCACAUGGACAUAAUGGAAAAUACUUAGGCCACCUAUGUACUUGAGAAUCUCUGUUCAUGAAGAAUAACACAGUGGACACAUAUUCCUGAGAACCGUAACAAUGAAAAAUUACAAGAGCAUUGUGUGUUGGAAAAGUUGUUUGCGUUCUGUGUUUGGUGCAUACCCUGUGGCUACUACUUAGGGAACACACCAAUCAGAAAUAGACGGGAAGAACAAUCACAAGUUUAAAUUGAAUCAAGAGAGUCUUCCUGAACUCAAAUGGUUACGCUAAUAUGCAUAUUUCACUCAAUAUUUUUAUAUGUCAUAAAUUUUUUGAGGCAGUUCUAUUUUUAUAUCCUGCAUAAAUGACAGCCUCAAAAUAUAGGUCAGGGUGUUACUAACUGCUUAGAGCAAGUACACACUCAGGAAAUUUCUUUUCCUAAAGAUCUAGCUUAUGAAAGAUAGAUGAUUGGACUUUUUGAAAUUUAGAUGCAAAGUUAUAAAAUAUCUAAAAGUCUAUAUCUUAUAGAUAUAUAAGCAUUGGCUGUAAACAAUGAGGAUCUGCCUAAAAAUAAUUCAUAGCUAAAAUUUUAAGGAUUAUACAUUAACUUAGAUCUUUUAGAAAUAUCAGAUCAUAUAGCUAUAGGAUUAGAUUACCUAUAAAAAGUAAUGUUUUCCUUGUAAUUAUAAUGUCCAGAUUAAUACUGCAUUAUUUGCAAUAACAUGACUCACCUGCUUUUCCAAGUCAGAGCAUGAGACUGUGAUUUUUAUGUUAUCCGUUCAAUUUGGUAUUUUCCUUCUAAUGAAGGCACAUUCUGUGAAUGUGAACACACAUUCACUGUGUUAAUGUUCAGUGUUCUAGAAAAAGUAUGCCUAGAGCCUCACUGGUUAACUACUUGAAAAAAAAUUUAAGGGAAACCUAUGUGCUGAAGCAUAUAG